CACAGUGUAUCACGCUACAUACAACCAACAGGUAUGUACAGGACCGGCCUUCCCAUUACCCCGUCAUAUACAGUGUAUCACGCUACAUACAACCAACAGGUAUGUACAGGACCGGCCUUCCCAUUACCCCGUCAUAUACAGUGUAUGGUGCUGAAUCCUACUGUACUAGAAUGCCCACUCACAGGCAGUACAUCACACUACAGAACACAUAUAAAAUGGAGCCCAUCUGCAGGUGUAGUGUUGGCCUCCUGUGAAGCCACACUCUCCAUGUGGGUUGGCAAUUACACUCAGAUGUCAGCAUCUAAAACCACUCCUCUGCUUUCUGUCCUCCCCCGCUGUCUCUCUCCCCCUCUCCCUCUCUCAGCCUCUCUCUCUCCCCCUCUCCCUCUCUCAGCCUCUCUGUGUCUCUGCGACUAUUGUCUGUAUUGACAUAAUGAAGCCAUUCAUCCUCUGGUACUUAACCUGUCAGUUGUGUUGCUAGUGUAGUUUACAGCAGUACUGUUACUGUAUGUGGUGUAGUUUACAGCAAUACUGUUACUGUAUGUGGUGUAGUUUACAGCAAUACUGUUACUGUACUGUAUGUGAUGUAGUUUACAGCAAUACUGUACUGUAUGUGGUGUAGUUUACAGCAAUACUGUUACUGUACUGUAUGUGGUGUAGAUUACAGCAAUACUGUUACUGUACUGUAUGAGAUGUAGUUUACAGCAAUACUGUUACUGUUACUGUAUGUGGUGUAGUUU
rnacentral:lncRNA from 1 species